rnacentral:rRNA from 1 species
CACGCCGUAAACGAUGAGCGCUAGGUGUUGGGGGUAUUGACCCCCCCAGUACCGCAGCUAACGCGUUAAGCGCUCCGCCUGGGGAGUACGGCCGCAAGGCUAAAACUCAAAGGAAUUGACGGGGACCCGCACAAGCGGUGGAUGAUGUGGUUUAAUUCGAUGCAACGCGAAAAACCUUACCCACCUUUGACAUGUACGGAAUCCUUUAGAGAUAGAGGAGUGCUCGAAAGAGAGCCGUAACACAGGUGC